UCCUCUCUUUCCCCUCAACGUAUAUAUGUGGCAUAUGCCAAUAUAAACAGAGGCAGAGGAGAUAAAAAUCCCACUUUUGAGGCUCUCCUGAAAUAUAGCUUAUACCUCAAGACUCUUGUAUUGCAUUGUAUUGUUUUCUAGUUGAACAAGAAUAAUAAAAACUACACGUUCAAUCUCUUCUAUCCUUCUCCUGCACCUUUAAUCUCUUUCUAAGGUGUGUUUGGAGAUCAGAGUUGGUUGGCUGUUGAUAGUUUUAUAUAUUGGUUUCUGCGAGGCUGUCAAUGCUGUGUUGGCAGCCCGCAUUUUCUUGAAUUAUAAAAAGAAGCUACUUACCCUCAACAGGUUGUUCAUUCUCAAUUAAUAUUUUGUUUUUACGGGUAUUUUAGUUGAAAUUUGAAGCGGUUAUGGGAAUUUGGAAUUUGAAACUUUUAAGUUGAAAUGGUAUGAGAGAUUGUCAGGUUGUUGAAUAUCAUGGGUUCUUUAGGAGGAUACCUGCAAAGACCGUUUCUUGCAGCUUCUGCUGUUGCUAUAGCUUCUGUCUAUACUGAUCUUUUUGAGAAAUUGAGGCCUUCAAAGUUAUUAAAUAUUGACUUUUCACCCGACCAACGAACUUCUACUUCACAUUCAUGUACUCAAGUACAUUCUUCAAGGGUGUCUCAAUUGUCGGAUUCCAAGUUGUCUGACUUAUCUUUUGUAGCCAAGAUUAGACUCCCUGUUCCUAAUAUACGAGGCCUGGUUCAAUUUACAAGUCGAGGUCCUGUUACAAACUUUUUGUUUUCUUCUGUUGUCUCUUCCUCUGUCUUGCUCAAUAUAUAUAACUCUGCCGAGUUAGCCAAAGCUAAGCCAACUGCAUAUACACAUGACUUCCCAAUACCUUCAUCAUCCUCAGAUGACGAAUUGUAUAGAUGGCAUUUACCAGAGCCAUAUACCAUUGAUGUAUCUGGGAAUUCAAAAUGUUCAUUGGCCAAGUCUAGGACAGUAGUUGUUUUGCUUGGAUGGUUAGGCGCAAAGCAGAAGCAUCUGAGAAAAUAUGCAGAGUAUUAUACCACAAGAGGAUUUCAUGUGAUUACCUUUACUUUCCCCAUGUCUGAGAUUGUAAGCUACAAAGCUGGUGGGAAAGCUGAAGAGCAUGUAGAUUUUCUUGUGAAUCACCUCUCUGAUUGCUUGGAAGAGGAGCUUGAAAAGAAUUUUGUGUUUCACACUUUUAGCAACACAGGGUGGUUAACAUAUGGAGUUAUUCUAGAAAAGUUUCAACAGAUGGAUUAUACUUUGAGAGAGAGGAUUAAAGGCUGUAUCAUUGAUUCAGCUCCUGUAGCAUCCCCUGAUCCACAGGUAUGGGCUUCAGGUUUCUCUGCUGCUUUUUUGAAAAAGCAAAUUGUAGUAGCAAAACAAGACAAAAAUACAAAAGUACCAUGUAGAACCUAUGUUUCUGAGGAAUCCAAACCACCGUUCAAGGAAGCAGCUUUGCAUGUCAUAUUACAGAAGGUUUUUGAGGUAGUCUUGAGACUUCCUCCGGUGAAUGGGAGGCUAACUUCUUUAAUGGAUCAACUGAAGUCUGGACAACCGAGAUGUCCACAGUUAUACAUCUACAGCACUGCAGAUAAAGUUAUUCCUGCAGAAUCUGUGGAGUCUUUCAUAGCUGAGCAGCGGAGGAUUGGACAUCAAGUCCGGGCUUGCAACUUCAUCUCUACGCCACACGUUGAUCAUAUGAGAAAUUAUCCAGAGUUCUACGCAACACAGCUCACCGAAUUCUUGGAGGAUUAUGUGCUCACUUGUUGCAAACAAGAUCAUGGACACUGACAAUAUUCUUUUCUUCAGAUCUCAUUAUCAUUGUACGCAAGUCGUAAAUGUCCUUUUCAUUUCUCUAUACAGAGGCCGCAGACCAAAGGAGCCCCUAGAAAAGGAAUAAGAAAAAAGAAGAGGGAACCAGUAAUGCACACAGCAAUGGCUAGAGCCGGGGAGUCGGAUAAGACCACGUAUGUUCCUGAAAUGAAGGUCAACAUCAUCCCCAUAAUAGAAAGAAUGUUGAGCACGGUUGAUGAGGUAUUGAGUAGUGAAACUUGGUGGAGAUCAUCAUUCAUUGAUUCAAGGAAGUAUAAGAACAAUGAAGACGUUGACAUUAGCAGAGUUAAUGCAUCUGACAUCAUGAAGAUGUUAAAAGCUCUCCUUCUAGACAGAACAACCAAACCUUCUCCAACCUCUCCACUUUGAUGGAGACCACCUGGCAUCGUGAAUCCUACUGUAAAAGUUACUGUCGUUAUAAGGGCAGUAACUAAUAUCUGGGUGUUGGUCCUCGUUUUAUAUCUUUCUAGAUCUUCUCUCCUCUGUUUAUGCAUUUUUUGCUCUAAAUCUUUUUUCUCUACCUCAAAUUUAACAUCUUUA